GUAAUUUAAGGUAGUUUUUCUUUUUCUAAUUCUGCGAAGAAUGCCAACGGUAGUUUGAUGGGAACAGCAUGGAAUCUAUAAGUUACUUUGGGUAGUAUGGCCAUUUUCACAAUAUUGAUUCUUUUUACCCAUGAGGUUGAAAUGCUUUUCUAUUUGUUUGUGUCCUCUCUUAUUUCCUUGAGCAGUGUUUUGCAGUUCCUUUUGAAAUGGCCCUUCACUUCUUUUGUUAGCUGUAUUCAGAGGUAUUUUAUUAUCUUAGUAAUUGUGAAUGGGAGUUCAUUCAUGAUUUGACUCUCUGCUUGCCUAUUGUUGGUGUA